AAAGGAGCUGAUUGGCUUUAGUCUUUUCUCCUUUAAUAGCUCCGUUCGUCUCCAGCCAUGUCUACGCUUACAUCUCGUGAUUACAGCCGCUGGGAUACAGAUUUCGUCUCCCCAUCCCUUCACAGUAAUCGUUUCUCCUUUAUCGCAAUCUAUCCCGUUCAUUGUUGAUUUUGUUUGUUAUUGUUGUGAUUGUAUUCAUGCUGUGUAACCGAUUUCAAUUGAUUAUGUCUGUGGUUUGAGGGUGAAAGGAGAAGAGUCAGUUCUGACUUCUGACUGGUCUUACUCUGUUUUCUGGGCCAUUCGACCUCGCCCGUAUAUUAAUUUCUUAAUCAUAUCAAACCAUUAUGUUGUUAUAUGUUGAUAUUUACUCAAACGGGUGUUGUUUUCUGUGAUUUUUCAUAUCAAACCCAAUUUCUCUUCUGCAUUCAACCUGUUUGUUGAAAUUCCCCAACCAACUUUCCCUUUUAUCAUUGCUCCAUAUGCUUGGUUUUUGAAGCUCUGAGAUUAUUCAGGUAAGCUUUUGUGGGUUUUGGUUUGUUUUCUUUUCUUUUUCACUCAUGGGUUUGCAAGAUUAUCAAGAACUUUUGAGCAAGCUCAUACAUUUGUUUGUUGGUGUAUAUUUUAACAGGCAGGGGGUUUCAAUAAAUUUGAUUUGGAGGGGUGGGGUGGGGCGGUGAUGGUGACUGUGGCGGUGAUGGUGGAGGAUUGGAGAGAAUUUGUGGCCAUUGUAUUCUAGACACACACAGAGACAGAG
rnacentral:lncRNA from 1 species